UGCUUCCUGGGUGGCAACGCAGGGAGGAGGCCCUUACCUCUCCCUGGGAGGGCUCACCUGUCCUUUGGUACCUGGCUGCCUUUCAGCAGGUUGAGAGAUCACAAAAAGAGGCCGGCUGUGAAGGAGCAGCUGACUGCUGAGUUAGAGGAGGGCUCCAUGUCACCUUCAGGCCUUGCAUCUUCCCCAUCACCAGGUUCGCUGUCACCCACUUUCCUUCCCAGCCCCUCCUCACGCCACAGGGACCAGACACCAGCACGCACAGACCAGCAUGUGCCCUUGGGCUUUAUUGGGCUGGACGUCUUCCUCCUUGAUGGAAGGGACAGGAAGCAGAGGCGACAGUCCUUCUGUGAGGAGCAGCUUCUCUUCCGUCACCGGUCCUGCUGUGGGCAGAGGGGCCGCCCCCUCGUCCGCUAGCAGCACCUGGAAGGGAAGCAGGACACGCUGAAAGGGAGCCCCGCAGAGUCCAUCAGGCACUGGGGGUACACACGCUUAUCGCUGAGACGAAUGUCUUGCUGGUUUGGUGCUGAUCCUCUUGUCUUCAAAGUCUUGAAGGCUAUUAAAUAUGAGACUGUGUGAUGAAGGUGGUAGUUCAAUUCUGGGGGUAAAAGAGCAUUUUCUAUGGGUGCUGGAUGCACCCAUCCAAGAGAAAAUAAAAGGGAUGUCUGUUUCAUACAAGGCCUUAAACAGGAAAACUAAAAUCAUUCAAAUCCUGAAAGGCAAUCUAGGAGAGUAUGUCUACAAUCUGAGGGUGAGCAGCGGGGCUAAACCAAGACUGGAACCCCAGAAGCUGUAAAAGAGAAGAGAGACAUAUUUGACUAUAUAAAAAUAUAAAUCUAACUGUGGCAAGAGAGAUCAUAAAGUUAAGAAGCAAAUAAGAGGAGUAAAAAAUAUCUGAAAAGACAAGUUACGAACUCAUUAACAAAACCCUGUAAGAAGGCAGGCCAUGACUGUAAAUAAGCAUCUCAUAGUGAACGAUUCCAAGUGACCAAACAUGGUGAGCAGCUGCUGACGUACCUGUAAGCAGAAGAUGAAAUGAAACAAGCAAGUAUCCUUAACACACUGGACAUGGGCAAGUAUUGAAAAGAGUGAUGAUACCAAUUGCCGGCAAACAUACGUCUUGUUGGUAUGUAUGUGAAUUAUCACAGAUUUUUCUUAAAAUCAAUCUUGCAGUAUUUAAUAAACUUUAAAACACUUGCCCCCUCAGCAAUCUCAUGUCUUGCUCUCUACCCACAGAAAUAAAAGCACCAGCAAGAAAGAUACUUGCAAAGGUAUUUAUUACAAUGGUAGUCAUAGGGCAAAAAAAGCCAGAAAAAAUGUGCCCAUGAAAGCGGAAUGGUUAUGGCAAAGCCACACCAUGGACUACUAUGUGCCAUUAAAAAAUAGUGAAUAAGGAGCUUCCCUGGUGAUCCAGUGGUUAAGAAUCCACGUUCCAAUGCA